GAGGCUGUGGCUCAGCGGUAGAGCACUCGCCUAGCACAUGUGAGGUUCUGGGCUUGAUCCUCAGCACCACA
rnacentral:tRNA from 1 species